rnacentral:rRNA from 1 species
AACGCUAGCUACAGGCUUAACACAUGCAAGUCGAGGGGCAGCAUGAACUUAGCUUGCUAAGUUUGAUGGCGACAGGCGCACGGGUGAGUAACGCGUAUCCAACCUUCCGUACACUCAGGAAUAGCCUUUCGAAAGAAAGAUUAAUACCUGAUGGUAUGAUGAGAUUGCAUGAAAUCAUCAUUAAAGAUUCAUCGGUGUACGAUGGGGAUGCGUUCCAUUAGAUAGUUGGCGGGGUAACGGCCCACCAAGUCUACGAUGGAUAGGGGUUCUGAGAGGAAGGUCCCCCACAUUGGAACUGAGACACGGUCCAAACUCCUACGGGAGGCAGCAGUGAGGAAUAUUGGUCAAUGGGCGCGAGCCUGAACCAGCCAAGUAGCGUGAAGGAUGAAGGUCCUACGGAUUGUAAACUUCUUUUAUAAGGGAAUAAAGUCACCUACGUGUAGGUGUUUGUAUGUACCUUAUGAAUAAGCAUCGGCUAACUCCGUGCCAGCAGCCGCGGUAAUACGGAGGAUGCGAGCGUUAUCCGGAUUUAUUGGGUUUAAAGGGAGCGUAGACGGGUCGUUAAGUCAGCUGUGAAAGUUUGAGGCUCAACCUUAAAAUUGCAGUUGAUACUGGCGUCCUUGAGUACGGUUGAGGCAGGCGGAAUUCGUGGUGUAGCGGUGAAAUGCUUAGAUAUCACGAAGAACUCCGAUUG